rnacentral:rRNA from 1 species
CCUACGGGAGGCAGCAGUAAGGAAUAUUGGUCAAUGGACGCAAGUCUGAACCAGCCAUGCCGCGUGAAGGAUUAAGGCCCUCUGGGUUGUAAACUUCUUUUAUAGGGGACGAAAAAAGGGCAUUCUUGCUCACUUGACGGUACCCUAGGAAUAAGCACCGGCUAACUCCGUGCCAGCAGCCGCGGUAAUACGGAGGGUGCAAGCGUUAUCCGGAUUUACUGGGUUUAAAGGGUGCGUAGGUGGGUUGGUAAGUCAGUGGUGAAAUCUUCGAGCUUAACUCGGAAACUGCCAUUGAUACUAUCAAUCUUGAAUCAUCUAGAGGUAAGCGGAAUAUGUCAUGUAGCGGUGAAAUGCUUAGAUAUGACAUAGAACACCAAUUGCGAAGGCAGCUUACUAUGGAUGUAUUGACACUGAGGCACGAAAGCGUGGGGAUCAAACAGGAUUAGAUACCCUGGUAGUCCACGCCCUAAACGAUGGAUACUCGACAUUUGUGAUAUACUAUAAGUGUCUGAGCGAAAGCAUUAAGUAUCCACCUGGGAAGUAACGACCGCAAGUUGAAACUUCAAAUGAAUUGACCGGNGNGAGAGNGCGAGACGACGACGAGGAGAGG